UGCAAUCAAUGAUGCAUCUUUUUCCCAAAAUUAUGAUCAUCUGUGAUUAAUAUCCAAAUUAUCACCAUCUUUCGACUGAGAUUGCA